rnacentral:rRNA from 1 species
CGACGUGGGGCGAACCUGCCCCAUAGAGGGGGACGAACAGCUGGAAACGGCUGCUAAUACCGCAUAACAAGGAGAGAGCGCAUGUUCUUUUCUUUCAGAGAUUUAUCGCUAUGGGAUGGACCCGCGUCUGAUUAGCUAGUUGGUGAGGUAACGGCUCACCAAGGCGACGAUCAGUAGCCGGCUUGAGAGAGUGAACGGCCACAUUGGGACUGAGACACGGCCCAGACUCCUACGGGAGGCAGCAG